UACGUAGGGUCCGAGCGUUGUCCGGAAUCACUGGGCGUAAAGGGCGCGUAGGCGGCCUGAUAAGUAGGGGGUGAAAUCUUGCGGCUCAACCGCAAGGCUGCCUUCUAAACUGUCAGGCUGGAGCACGGUAGAGGCAGAUGGAAUUCCCGGUGUAGCGGUGGAAUGCGUAGAGAUCGGGAAGAACACCAGUGGCGAAGGCGGUCUGCUGGGCCGUUGCUGACGCUGAGGCGCGACAGCGUGGGGAGCAAACAGG
rnacentral:rRNA from 1 species